rnacentral:rRNA from 1 species
CUAAACAGCCAUGUCACCCUGCAGCCCAGGACUGGUUACUCAUUGAAGCUAAGCAGAGCUGAGCCUGGUCAGAACCUUGAUGAAAGAGACCACAUGGGAAAACUAGGUUGCUGCUGGAA